rnacentral:rRNA from 1 species
AUUGAACGCUGGCGGCAGGCCUAACACAUGCAAGUCGAGCGGAACGGCGGACGGGUGAGUAAGGCCUAGGAAUAUGCCUGCUAGUGGGGGGUGACGUACGGAAACGGGCGCUAAUACCUAAUACUAUCAGAUGAGCCUAGGUCGACUUAGUUAGUUGGUGGGGUAAAGGCCUACCAAGGCGACGAUCCGUAACUGGUCUGAGAGGGUGAUCAGUCACACUGGAAAUGAGACACGGUCCAGACUCCUCCGGUAGGCAGCAGUGGGGAAUAUUGGACAAUGGGCGAAAGCCUGAUGCAGCCAUGCCGCGUGUUUGAAGAAGGUCUUCGGAUUGUAAAGCACUUUAAGUUGGGAGGCGUUACCGACAGAAUAAGCACCGGCUAACUUCGUGCCAGCAGCCGCGGUAAUUC